rnacentral:rRNA from 1 species
AUGAACGCUGGCGGCGUGCUUAACACAUGCAAGUCGAACGGUGAAGGAGAGCUUGCUCUUUGGAUCAGUGGCGAACGGGUGAGUAACACGUGAGUAACCUGCCCUUGACUCUGGGAUAAGCACUGGAAACGGUGUCUAAUACCGGAUACGAGCUUCAGCCGCAUGGCUAGGAGUUGGAAAGAAUUUCGGUCAAGGAUGGACUCGCGGCCUAUCAGCUAGUUGGUGAGGUAACGGCCCACCAAGGCGACGACGGGUAGCCG